AGUGAACGCUGGCGGUAGGCCUAACACAUGCAAGUCGAACGGCAGCACAGUAAGAGCUUGCUCUUACGGGUGGCGAGUGGCGGACGGGUGAGGAAUACAUCGGAAUCUACUUUUUCGUGGGGGAUAACGUAGGUAAACUUACGCUCAUACCGCAUACGACCUACGGGUGAAAGCAGUGGAUCUUCGGACCUUGCGCGAAUGAAUGAGCCGAUGUCGGAUUAGCUAGUUGGCGGGGUAAAGGCCCACCAAGGCGACGAUCCGUAGCUGGUCUGAGAGGAUGGUCGGCCACACGGGAACUGGAACACGGUCCAGACUCCUACGGGAGGCAGCAGUGGGGAAUAUUGGACAAUGGGGGCAAGCAUGAUCCAGCCAUACCGCGUGGGUGAAGAAGGCGUUCGGGUUGUAAAGCCCUUUUGUUGGGAAAGAAAAGCAGCAGGUUAAUACCCCGCUGUUCUGACGGUACCCAAAGAAUAAGCACCGGCUAACUUCGUG
rnacentral:rRNA from 1 species